rnacentral:lncRNA from 10 species
UCCACGGUUAGGGCAGGGGCCUGGGGCUCAGAUGUUCCUCAUAGGUAAGGAAUGGAUCUCCUGGUUGGCCCCUCCCAGAUUCCUUAGCUCAGGACUGGGAACACAUUCAGGUGCGUCAGCCACGCAGGGUCAUUCUCAGUGUGCUUAAGUCAAGUUAUUGCUGUCAGGUGCGUCUACCAUGCAGUAUAUUUACUAAGAACUUCACACACAUCUCUUUGAAACUCUAACCAAAAUAUUUUUGAUUCAAGUGCUAUUAUUUCUCCAUUUCACAGAAGAGGAAACCGAGACAAAGUGAAGUUACUUCCCCCAAGUCACCUAACAGGGAUUCUGGCAGUAGAGAAGAAGAGAAGCUGCAGCUACAUGGAAAUGGAAGCCUCAUGUACAUGCAUGUGUCAUAGGGACUGAGGCAAGUGCCUUUUUUGCUUUCCUGAGCUGUAGUGAGGUAAGUAAACUAAAUUUUUGGCAAAUCUAGAUGCACCCAUAAGGCAGGAAAAGUAUUUCCUUUUUACUUUGUCUUGUACUCUUUAUUAUUUUUCUAGAAAUAGGUAGAAAAGAUAAAAAAAUUUAAAAAUAUAUAAAAGAUAAAAAUAAAUGCAAAACUGUUUAUAAACACAAUGUUCUGUUGAACAAAACAAUUACUAUAGGUUUAUUUGGAAUUUGAUGCUAGGCUCCUUGAUUAUAAUAUUCAACACAUGUCCAAUAAAUACUCUUUGCCACGGCCUACAAUUCUGGUUCUAUAUAACAUAUAGAUGUUUUGAUAUUUAUCCUAAAUUUGCAAGCUUU